AGUAACGGCGAGUGAAGCGGUAACAGCUCAAAUUUGAAAUUUGGCUCCUGCGGAGUCCGAGUUGUAAUUUGUAGAAGAUGCUUUGGGAGGUAGGGCCGGCCUAAGUUCCUUGGAACAGGACAUCAGAGAGGGUGAGAAUCCCGUAUGUGGCCGCGGCCUACGCCCGUGUAAAGCUCUUUCGACGAGUCGAGUUGUUUGGGAAUGCAGCUCAAAAUGGGUGGUAAAUUUCAUCUAAAGCUAAAUAUUGGCCAGAGACCGAUAGCGCACAAGUAGAGUGAUCGAAAGAUGAAAAGCACUUUGGAAAGAGAGUUAAACAGUACGUGAAAUUGUUGAAAGGGAAGCGCUUGCACCCAGACUUGGGCGUCGUCGAUCAUCCGAGGUUCUCCUCGGUGCACUCGGCGAUGCACAGGCCAGCAUCGGUUUGGAUGGCUGGAGAAAGGCGCUAGGAACGUAGCUCUCUUCGGGGAGUGUUAUAGCCUAGGGCGUAAUGCAGCCCAUCCGGACCGAGGACCGCGCCUUCGGGCUAGGAUGCUGGCGUAAUGGUUGCAAGCGACCCGUCUUGAAACACGGACCAAGGAGUCUAACAUCUAUGCGAGUGUUUGGGCGUUAAACCCAUACGCGGAAUGAAAGUGAACGUAGGUGAGAACCCGUUAGGGUGCAUCAUCGACCGAUCCUGAUGUCUUCGGAUGGAUUUGAGUAAGAGCAUAGCUGUUGGGA
rnacentral:rRNA from 1 species